AACGAACGCUGGCGGCAUGCCUAACACAUGCAAGUCGAACGAUGCUUUCGGGCAUAGUGGCGCACGGGUGCGUAACGCGUGGGAAUCUGCCCUUGGGUUCGGAAUAACAGUGAGAAAUUGCUGCUAAUACCGGAUGAUGUCUUCGGACCAAAGAUUUAUCGCACAGGGAUGAGCCCGCGUAGGAUUAGCUAGUUGGUGGGGUAAUGGCCUACCAAGGCGACGAUCCUUAGCUGGUCUGAGAGGAUGAUCAGCCACACUGGGACUGAGACACGGCCCAGACUCCUACGGGAGGCAGCAGUGGGGAAUAUUGGACAAUGGGCGCAAGCCUGAUCCAGCAAUGCCGCGUGAGUGAUGAAGGCCUUAGGGUUGUAAAGCUCUUUUACCCGGGAUGAUAAUGACAGUACCGGGAGAAUAAGCUCCGGCUAACUCCGUG
rnacentral:rRNA from 1 species